rnacentral:rRNA from 1 species
GAUGAACGCUAGCGGCGUGCCUAACACAUGCAAGUCGAACGUGAGAGGGUACUUGUAUCCUUGAAAGUGGCGGACGGGUGAGUAAGACGUAGGUGACCUGCCUUGAAGUGGGGGAUAACCAUUGGAAACGAUGGCUAAUACCGCAUAAGCUGGUGACGAUGGGAAUCGUUAUCAGGAAAGCUUUAGUGCUUUGAGAGGGGCCCGCGGCCGAUUAGCUAGUUGGUAAGGUAAAGGCUUACCAAGGCGAUUAUCGGUAGCUGGUCUGAGAGGACGAUCAGCCACACGGGAACUGAGACACGGUCCCGACUCCUACGGGGGGCAGCAGUGAGGAAUAUUGGGCAAUGGGCGAAAGCCUGACCCAGCAACGCCGCGUGGAGGAUGAAGGCUUUAGGGUUGUAAACUCCUUUUGUGGGGGAAAAGAAUGGAUGGUACCCCAAGAAUAAGUCACGGCUAACUACGUG